AACCAGCUCUUCAAGUGGUCGGGAUGAUUACUGGGCUUAAAGUGUCCGUAGCCGGUUUAGUAAGUUCCUGGUAAAAUCAGGUAGCUUAACUAUCUGUAUGCUAGGAAUACUACUAUACUAGAGGGCGGGAGAGGUCUGAGGUACUACAGGGGUAGGGGUGAAAUCUUAUAAUCCUUGUAGGACCACCAGUGGCGAAGGCGUCAGACUGGAACGUGCCUGACGGUGAGGGACGAAAGCCAGGGGAGCGAACCGGAUUAGAUACCCGGGUAGUCCUGGCCGUAAACGAUGCAUACUAGGUGAUGGCCCGGCCAUGAGCCGUGUCAGUGCCGUAGGGAAACCGUUAAGUGUGCCGCCUGGGAAGUACGGUCGCAAGGCUAAAACUUAAGGAAUUGGCGGGGGAGCACCACAAGGGGUGAAGCCUGCGGUUC
rnacentral:rRNA from 1 species